AUGAAUUUUCAUCGGCCAAAUUCAAAAUGUCAAUUUGAACGAUACUACAUACUUGCUUAAUUAUGCAGCUGUUGGUGUUAUAAAGCUGGUACAAUUAGAAUAGGUCGAAUUUGUCCCUUUUCUUGCCCAGGACGUUUCAAUUUGUCCAUUAUGAAAUUCAAGUUUGUGUGUGUGUGUUUUUUUUAAAUUCUCUAAUCGAUAAAGUCCUAUAAACUAGUAAGCGAGAAUAGGCGGACCCCAAUACAAUCGGGAUUUGAUCAAGUUGUAGACAUAUGUUUGAAUUGUUUAUUAUCAGUUCGUUAUUAAGAAAAACAGCUUUCUUUCACCUAAUAUGUUGUGAUUUAAUUCUUAAAAAAUUUAGAAUUCUUCCCAAAUCGCAGUCAAUCCAAGAUAUAACUGCGUUUGGCGUUAGACGAGGAAUGAAAAGUUUCUGUUGGAAACCAGUCGAAGUAUUUUGUUUUCGUAAUUUACGGCGUUUUUGAAACAAAAGACCCGUGGGUCGAUACAGGAAGGAUAAGAAGCCGGGCGUUGGUGCGCUAGACACCUACCUUCCAUCGUAAAAAAAACCUUUACCCCAAGCCAAAGAAUACCCGGUUCGUUUUGGGUACAAUAUUCUUUUGACGUGGAAUGCAACCUUUUGCCCAGGAAGGUCGAUAGCCUUCCAGCCGCCGACGUGACUCGGACAUGGUCACAAUGGAAUGCCCCUGGGCCGUUAAUAAUCCCACUGACUUUCUCUUACAAAUGAUUCCGACAUGACACAAAAGAGUAUCGUUUAUUACAACGGGGAAGAUUCGUUUCUAAAAGCAUUGGAAAUUGUUGGAAAAUUAGAUCUGGCGCGUUCACAAGCCAUUAGCCCAGUUUAACUAAGGUACAUUUAUAUAAUAAUAGCCUUUUAAUACACCCAAAAUAUGUUUCCGUUAAUAAACUACAAUUACAUUU